AAAAUAAUAAACCAUAAUUAAACACCCUAAUUAAACAUUAAUUUGUAAACAAUACGAAACCCUCCUCUCUUCUCUUCUCUUCUCAACGAAGCCUCAUUCUCUUCUCAUCCUCAUCAAAUCAAUACAGUAUCUGUUGCGAUCUGUUGCUAACCGAAAUAUUCAAUCGUAUUCAAUCGUAUCAAUCGUUAUCAUCAUUUACUCCAUCCUCUUCGAUUUCCAUCUUCAACUUCAAGGUAUGUAUAACUUUGUUCUGUUUUGUUUGUUUGGUUAGUUUUUGUUAUGUGUGUGAAUUCCUUUUAAUUAUGAUAUUUUCAUCACAUUCUCAUCUCCCUUUGAUCAUCAUCAUCGUCUUCAAUCAGAAUUUGGGGAUAGAGCAGGUAAUUCUUCUUCUUAUCUAUUGGUUUUGUUAUUUGUUGCUUUCACAUCUAUGGGUUUUUUUUAUUUGUUGCUUUCACUAAUGUGUAGAUUAUCUAUGGGUUUUGUUAUUUGUUGCUUUCACUAAUGUGUAGAUUUCUAUAAGUUAUUAAUUCAAUCGAGUUACCAUAUCACUAUUCACUAGAUUUGAAUUGAGACAGUACAAUUUGUGAUUGAGAGAAGAAGUUUGCCCAAUUUGUGGAUGAGCAGCAAAUGCUUCUAUCAUACACUAUACACAGAAUAUUAAUAUGUGAAACACAUUUCUUUGAUGGUGUGAAAUGGUACUAUCAUCUAUUGACUGUUGAUUGGAAUAUUUCAUGAGGAACAAUCAUUCAUAACCUGUCCAAAUUUGGUAAAAUACUGUGAUUGUCGGAAUGUUAAGAUGGAUUAGAACAUAAAACCCAGUUUAUAAUGAAGAAAUAGGAUUUAUGUCAACAGCCUCACGAUUGUUUUGGAAGCUGCAGAGGCCUGCAGUAUAAAUAUUCUCUCCUGAUUCUCCUGUCCAGCUUUUGUCUCAGC
rnacentral:lncRNA from 1 species